UGGCACAGUGGUUAAGCGUUUGGUUGCUAACCAAAAGGUUGGCAGUUCGAAUCUACC
rnacentral:tRNA from 1 species